CGCGCAGAGUUGCCAUGGAAACGGCGCGGGACCACUGCUACUGGUAAGCAACAAAACUCCCUCUCUCGAUGUUGUUUCAACUUUUCACGGCCUUUUCCAGUAGUAACAAAAUAACCCAUAACAGAGAGAAAGCGCCUCCACGACUUCAACAUUUCUGAAGAAAGCUGCUGCCGGAGAAGUAACGUUAGGACACAGAACAAGUCUGUGACUGACUUAAUGAACCCAGUUGUUUUGGAUCAUGCUCAAAGAUGUAAGGGCUACAAAAAGUUAACCAGAACUCUUAUGGACUCCAUCUUCUCUUUCGAAGAGAUGGCAGCAUGAACGGAAAAAAAGGGGUUGUUGGUGAAAAAAGUGCCUUGACCUACAAAAGGUGCAGCUAAUAAUUGACCAUGUCAAAAAGAGGCACCCAGGCAUCGGAGGCACUGAGAUCAAGGUCUGCAUGGCACAAAAGUUAAAUGAUCUGAGGAGACGAGCAGAAAGGUAAUAUUCAGACGAUCCAACAUCCAAGUGUGAUCCCCAUGUGGUCUGUUCACAUUUGCGAAACCGACAUGCGCGAGGACUGAUGACUCAGUUUAUUCCUCAGUCUACAUUGUGAUCUAUUCACAA